ensembl:lncRNA
CGGGCAGUAGAGUAUGGGCUGUGCUCCUUGCGGGAUUGCUAACUUAUGUUGAGGGACUUCUUGGGAGGCUCUGCUCUCAGCUUUGUCUACAUGAGCUCAUGUUAUCUUCACCACCAUCCCAUGAGCACCUUCCAGGCUAUGAGGAUAAUCAAAAAGAAGUGAUGGUGUGUUGCUUGAGUCUAAACAGUUUUAUGCACAUUUCAUAGAAAGGAGCCACCGAUGCCCACGCCACUGUUUCCAGAAGUCUCUCCCCCCAGCUUCUCUCAGAAUGCAGCCACGAAGACUCAGGAACCAGCAGCACUGGGGCUCCCCGUCUGCCCCAUGUGCCUCUGCAUCUGCCCAGAUCUGCCCCAAAACUGCUCCAAAGAGGUCCCUGCCCUUCAGAACCUUCUGCUGGGAACUCCUUCUCUCCCCACGUUUCCCAGCUCUGCCGUGGGGUAGGCAGGACUCUGUCGUUUGAAUUCCUUCUGUCAUAUGCAUAUUAUCCAACCUUAGAAAACACACAAGUCUGGCUGCCUAAGCUUCAGCUUUGACUGUCACUCUGUGUUUUUGACUGCAGUUAAUGAACCCUAACUGCCCCCAAAUACUCUGGCUUUCAGACUAUCGGAGCCAGCAUUCCCAACUGGAUAUCGAUUUACCAUUGCAUUUAUAUGAAAGAACAAGAAAGAGCUUUGUGUGUGUGUUUUAGCUACUUAAUCCUCAUUCCUUUUGGCUGAGAGCUUCUCCUUGGAC